UACGAAGGGGGCUAGCGUUGCUCGGAAUCACUGGGCGUAAAGCGCACGUAGGCGGAUUGCUAAGUCAGGGGUGAAAUCCUGGAGCUCAACUCCAGAACUGCCUUUGAUACUGGCAACCUUGAGUCCGGGAGAGGUGAGUGGAACUGCGAGUGUAGAGGUGGAAUUCGAUAGAUAUUGCAAGAACACCAGUGGCGAAGGCGGCUCACUGGCCCGGUACUGACGCUGAGGUGCGAAAGCGUGGGGAGCAAACAGGG
rnacentral:rRNA from 1 species